rnacentral:tRNA from 1 species
GCUCUUGUAGUGAAAUGGAUAUCACGCUUGGCUUCGGACCAAGUAUUCUAGGUUCGAAUCCUAGCAAGAGCACAA